GUCCUAGCCGUAAACGGUGUGAACUUGGUGUGGGAGGAAUUAUCCCCUUCCGUGCCGUAGCUAACGCGAUAAGUUCACCGCCUGGGGAGUACGGCCGCAAGGCUAAAACUCAAAGGAAUUGACGGGGGCCCGCACAAGCGGUGGAGCAUGUGGCUUAAUUCGAUGCAACGCGAAGAACCUUACCUGGGCUUGACAUGUAACUGCACGGCCGGUGAAAGCCGGUCUCCUUCGAGGGUGUUACACAGGUGCUGCAUGGCUGUCGU
rnacentral:rRNA from 1 species